ensembl:lncRNA
GGGGAGGAUAAGGGGAUGUGGACCACAGCCUGCAGGAGCAGAGUGCUUCACAGGAGAAGGCAAGGUGUGAGGUACAGGUGGGACUUGUGGGUGCGGGGACGUCAGGUGGCAUGGGUACGUGGGGGGUCUGGGGGCUCGUGGGGAGCGGUUUGGGGUCAGAACGGAGGAUGUGGAGUAGUGCUGGAGUGCAUUCAUUGAUUUCUUCCUGAGAGGGGAUUGGGGUUCCCUGCAGCCCAAAGGUGGAGCCCUGAUCCAUAACCCCACAUGAGCCCAGUACCACAUACUACUCCGCGUGACCCCGAGGCUCCACAUGUCCCAUAACCCUGUGAGCACCAUAACCCCAUAUGAGGCUGUGGGCAGGGAUGGGUCUGUUCCUGGCUUGUUCAGGGGGUACUAUAAGGUGGCUCUGGGGCCACUGUAGGUCAGCAGCCUGAAUAAUCCUCUGAC